GGGCGGUUAGCUCAGUGGUAGAGCAUUCGCUUCACACGCGAAGGGUCGUAGGUUCAAAUCCUAUACCGCCCACCA
rnacentral:tRNA from 12 species